rnacentral:rRNA from 1 species
UACGUAGGGGGCUAGCGUUGUCCGGAAUCAUUGGGCGUAAAGCGCGUGUAGGCGGCCCGGUAAGUCCGCUGUGAAAGUCGGGGGCUCAACCCUCGGAUGCCGGUGGAUACUGUCGGGCUCGAGUACGGAAGAGGCGAGUGGAAUUCCUGGUGUAGCGGUGAAAUGCGCAGAUAUCAGGAGGAACACCAAUUGCGAAGGCAGCUCGCUGGGACGUUACUGACGCUGAGACGCGAAGGCCAGGGAGCAAACGGG